rnacentral:tRNA from 1 species
GCCUUCGUGGUGUAACGGUAGCACACUCGGUGCUAUUAGAGAGGUCUAGGUUCGAGUCCCGGCGAGCGCA